rnacentral:rRNA from 1 species
AAUGCUGACAUAAGUAACGAUAAAGCGGGUGAAAAGCCCGCUCGCCGGAAGACCAAGGGUUCCUGUCCAACGUUAAUCGGGGCAGGGUGAGUCGACCCCUAAGGCGAGGCCGAAAGGCGUAGUCGAUGGGAAACAGGUUAAUAUUCCUGUACUUGGUGUUACUGCGAAGGGGGGACGGAGAAGGCUAUGUUGGCCGGGCGACGGUUGUCCCGGUUUAAGCGUGUAGGCUGGUUUUCCAGGCAAAUCCGGAAAACCAAGGCUGAGGCGUGAUGACGAGGCACUACGGUGCUGAAGCGACAAAUGCCCUGCUUCCAGGAAAAGCCUCUAAGCAUCAGGUAACAUCAAAUCGUACCCCAAACCGACACAGGUGGUCAGGUAGAGAAUACCAAGGCGCUUGAGAGAACUCGGGUGAAGGAACUAGGCAAAAUGGUGCCGUAACUUCGGGAGAAGGCACGCUGAUAUGUAGGUGAAGCGACUUGCUCGUGGAGCUGAAAUCAGUCGAAGAUACCAGCUGGCUGCAACUGUUUAUUAAAAACACAGCACUGUGCAAACACGAAAGUGGACGUAUACGGUGUGACGCCUGCCCGGUGCCGGAAGGUUAAUUGAUGGGGUUAGCGGUAACGCGAAGCUCUUGAUCGAAGCCCCGGUAAACGGCGGCCGUAACUAUAACGGUCCUAAGGUAGCGAAAUUCCUUGUCGGGUAAGUUCCGACCUGCACGAAUGGCGUAAUGAUGGCCAGGCUGUCUCCACCCGAGACUCAGUGAAAUUGAACUCGCUGUGAAGAUGCAGUGUACCCGCGGCAAGACGGAAAGACCCCGUGAACCUUUACUAUAGCUUGACACUGAACAUUGAGCCUUGAUGUGUAGGAUAGGUGGGAGGCUUUGAAGUGUGGACGCCAGUCUGCAUGGAGCCGACCUUGAAAUACCACCCUUUAAUGUUUGAUGUUCUAACGUUGGCCCGUAAUCCGGGUUGCGGACAGUGUCUGGUGGGUAGUUUGACUGGGGCGGUCUCCUCCUAAAGAGUAACGGAGGAGCACGAAGGUUGGCUAAUCCUGG